rnacentral:rRNA from 1 species
AGGCUUUGAUCUUGGCUCAGGACGAACGCUGGCGGCGUGCUUAACACAUGCAAGUCGUACGGUAAGGCCCUUUCGGGGGUACACGAGUGGCGAACGGGUGAGUAACACGUGAGUAACCUGCCCACAACUUUGGGAUAACGCUAGGAAACUGGUGCUAAUACUGGAUAUGUGCUCCUGCUGCAUGGUGGGGGUUGGAAAGCUCCGGCGGUUGUGGAUGGACUCGCGGCCUAUCAGCUUGUUGGUGGGGUAGUGGCCUACCAAGGCGGCGACGGGUAGCCGGCCUGAGAGGGUGACCGGCCACAUUGGGACUGAGAUACGGCCCAGACUCCUACGGGAGGCAGCAGUGGGGAAUAUUGCACAAUGGGCGCAAGCCUGAUGCAGCAACGCCGCGUGCGGGAUGACGGCGUUCGGGUUGUAAACCGCUUUCAGCAGGGACGAAGCUUUUUGUGACGGUACCGGUCAGUAAGAAGCACCGGGU